UACGAAGGGGGCUAGCGUUGUUCGGAGUUACUGGGCGUAAAGGGCGCGUAGGCGGCGCACCAAGUCAGGCGUGAAAGCCCUGGGCUCAACCCGGGAAUUGCGCUUGAGACUGGUGUGCUUGAGUACGGGAGAGGAUAGUGGAAUUCCCAGUGUAGAGGUGAAAUUCGUAGAUAUUGGGAAGAACACCAGUGGCGAAGGCGACUUACUGGACACGUAUUGACGCUGAGGUGCGAAAAGCGUGGGGGAGCAAACAGGGAUUAAGAAAACCCCCAGU
rnacentral:rRNA from 1 species